GCUUUUCAUAUUCCAAAAGUGCCUGCAGUAAUGGAAAGGAUCAGGAAUAGAGGACACAAUGAAAGAUGAAACAAAUGAAGGAAGCCUUUGAUGAAAAUAAUGACUGAAAUAAUUGGUACUAAUAUAAAUAUGACAAACAGAUUUCAGGGCAAGUGGGAGCAGAUCGGUCUCAUUUUUCCUGGAAUUCAAAUGUCACUGGAGGAGAUCCAAGCUCAGUUCCCUUGGAAAGAUAAAGAAAAGGAAGUUAUGCAUCUGCAUUAAUUUUAUAAUCUGAGUCAACUAUCACUCUCUCUCCCUGGGGAAGGGAAGGAGAUAGCUGUAGACAUGAGAAGCUCCUUUCUGAAUGAUGCUUCUGUUAUAGAUUGCCCAGUCAACAUUUUCGAUGCCAGAAGAGAACAAAAUUGAACCAUCGUCUAAGAUAUAUUAACCAAUUAUGGUCCUACAUUACAGUGUUUGAAAAUUCAAUUGGAAUCUCAAAAAUUGAGCAUUUUCCCAAUUUAAAGGCAAUACCUUCUCGUAGAAUAUUCGGAAUG
rnacentral:misc_RNA from 1 species